rnacentral:rRNA from 1 species
GACGAACGCUGGCGGCGUGCUUAACACAUGCAAGUCGAACGGAAAGGCCCUGCUUUUGCGGGGUGCUCGAGUGGCGAACGGGUGAGUAACACGUGAGUAACCUGCCCUUGACUUUGGGAUAACUUCAGGAAACUGGGGCUAAUACCGGAUAGGAGCUCCUGCUGCAUGGUGGGGGUUGGAAAGUUUCGGCGGUUGGGGAUGGACUCGCGGCUUAUCAGCUUGUUGGUGGGGUAGUGGCUUACCAAGGCUUUGACGGGUAGCCGGCCUGAGAGGGUGACCGGCCACAUUGGGACUGAGAUACGGCCCAGACUCCUACGGGAGGCAGCAGUGGGGAAUAUUGCACAAUGGGCGGAAGCCUGAUGCAGCAACGCCGCGUGCGGGAUGACGGCCUUCGGGUUGUAAACCGAUUUCGCCUGUGACGAAGCGUGAGUGACGGUAAUGGGUAAAGAAGCACCGGCUAACUACGUG